AACGAACGCUGGCGGCAUGCCUAACACAUGCAAGUCGAACGAGACCUUCGGGUCUAGUGGCGCACGGGUGCGUAACGCGUGGGAACCUGCCCUUAGGCUCGGAAUAACUCCCCGACAGGGGUGCUAAUACCGGAUAAUGUCUUCGGACCAAAGAUUUAUCGCCUUUGGAUGGGCCGGCGUUGGAUUAGCUAGUUGGUAGGGUAAAAGCCUACCAAGGCGACGAUCCAUAGCUGGUCUGAGAGGAAGGUCAGCCACACUGGGAGUGGGAAACGGCCCAGACUCCUACGGGAGGCAGCAGUGGGGAAUAUUGGACAAUGGGCGAAAGCCUGAUCGAGCAAUGCUGCGUGAGUGAUGAAGGCCUUAGGGUUGUAAAGCUCUUUUACCCGGGAUGAUAAUGACAGUACCGGGAGAAUAAGCUCCGGCUAACUCCGUG
rnacentral:rRNA from 1 species